AUUGAACGCUGGCGGCAGGCCUAACACAUGCAAGUCGAACGAGGCGGGGACGGGUGAGUAAUCUCGGGGAAACUGCCAGAUGGGGGGGGAACACCACGGGAAAGGGUAUCUAAUACCGCAUACUCGCCGAUGCGCCCAGGUGGGAUUAGUUUGUUGGUGGGGGAACGGCUCACCAAGGCGACGAUCCCUAGCGGGUCUGAGAGGAUGACCAGCCACACUGGAACUGAGACACGGUCCAGACUGCUACGGGAGGCAGCAGUGGGGAAUAUUGCACAAUGGGCGCAAGCCUGAUGCAGCCAUGCCGCGUGUAUGAAGAAGGCCUUCGGGUUGUAAAGUACUUUCAGCGGGGAGGCGUUACCCGCAGAAGAAGCACCGGCUAACUCCGUGCCAGCAGCCGCGGUAAUAC
rnacentral:rRNA from 1 species